rnacentral:sRNA from 1 species
UGCGGCUGGAUCACCUCCUUUCUAAGGAUGAUCCUUCAGCGAGCUCGCGCUCACUAUCGGAUCGUUUUAGGAACAUCAGUGGCCAACAGAUCGCCAGAUCGUUGAGCUGCAUUGGCGGGAUUUCGCCGUCUUCGUUUCUCUUUCUUCGCGGACGAACACGCGCUGGGCCUGCAUCAAGCAGGAUCCCACGGUCCCUGACGGGAUAUGCGUUAGGGGCUUGUAGCUCAGUUGGUUAGAGCGCGCGCUUGAUAAGCGUGAGGUCGGAAGUUCAAGUCUUCCCAGGCCCACCAGCCUUCGCGCUUCGCUGCUUCGGCUAGGCAAGCCCUUCGAAACGAAGGCUGCCGCGCCGUAGCCUUGGCGAAGGCGGGCUAAUCAAACGAGCAUUCGUCUUCUGGUUACGGGGCCAUAGCUCAGCUGGGAGAGCGCGUGCUUUGCAAGCAUGAGGUCGUCGGUUCGAUCCCGUCUGGCUCCACCAGCCUUCGCAGGCUACGCCUGCUUCGGCUAGGCGAGCCAGCCGGUAGCGAAGGCUGCCGCGCCAUAGCCGAAAGGCGAAGGCGGGCUACUUCUGAUCCCGUAACCAUCAUCGUCCGCGAAACAUCACUUCGCAUCCUGCUAGUCUGGAUAGACAGCAAGAUGCGUGUUUUCUGACAUCGUAAAGAGGAGAUCGAUCCGAGUUGGGUCGUGCAGCAGAUUGUUGCGCGAAUCCUCCAUUAUCUCCGGAUCAUUUUCGGCGCUCGCUUUCAGCCGUGAGGUUGAAUGCGAGUUGUAAAAUGAUCCUUUUAGCGAAGCUUGACCGCCUCGCUAUCGGAACGAUCUUACGAAGCAAGCUGGUCUUUCUAGUCAAUGUCCGGCUGCAGAUAGCGUUCAUCGAGGGCGCGCGCCGCAAGGUAAUUCUGCAGACAACAUUCUGCCGAGUGUGUGGACAUUGAUAAUGAGAGCAAUCAAGUGCCUUAAGGGUGUUCGGUGGAUGCCUUGGCGCUGAGAGGCGAUGAAGGACGUGCUACGCUGCGAUAAGCCGUGGGGAGCUGCGAAGAAGCUUUGAUCCGCGGAUUUCCGAAUGGGGAAACCCACCUUCGAUAGCCGGAACUCCAAGACCUUGUGUCUUGGUGUUCGACCAGAAAUGAUCGGGACCAUGACCCUUGAGGUUUUGGAUUUCCGGUUAUCAAGAGAAGGUAUGAGACUUCUGAAUACAUAGGAGGUUUCAAGCAAACCCAGGGAACUGAAACAUCUAAGUACCUGGAGGAAAGGACAUCAACAGAGACUCCGUUAGUAGUGGCGAGCGAACGCGGACCAGGCCAGUGAUACAUCAAAGACAAUCGGAACCAGUCAGGAAAGCUGGGCCUUAGAGGGUGAUAGCCCCGUACGAGUAAUGCGAUGAUGUAUCCACGAGUAAGGCGGGACACGUGCAAUCCUGUCUGAACACGGGGGGACCACCCUCCAAGCCUAAGUACUCCUCAGCGACCGAUAGCGAACCAGUACCGUGAGGGAAAGGUGAAAAGCACCCCGACGAGGGGAGUGAAAUAGACCUGAAACCGGACACCUACAAACAGAUGGAGCUCAAGAUUCGUUCUGGGUGACAUCGUACCUUUUGUAUUAUGGGCCAGCGACUUAAUUUAACGAGCAAGCUUAAGCCGAUGGGCGAAGGCGUAGCGAAAGCGAGUCUGAAUAGGGCGCCAAGUUCGUUGUAUUAGACCCGAAACCUAGUGAUCUAGCCAUGAGCAGGUUGAAGGUGAGGUAACACUCACUGGAGGACCGAACGGGUGCCUGUUGAAAAAGGCUCCGAUGACUUGUGGUUAGGGGUGAAAGGCCAAUCAAACUGGGAAAUAGCUGGUUCUCCGCGAAAGAUAUUUAGGUAUCGCCUCGCACGAAUGCUUCGGGGGGUAGAGCACUGGAUGGGCUAGGGGGACUUACCGUCUUACCAAACCCAACCAAACUCCGAAUACCCGAAAGCAAUAUGCGGGAGUCACACGGCGGGUGCUAACGUCCGUCGUGGAGAGGGAAACAACCCGGACCUACAGCUAAGGCCCCUAAUUCGUGGCUAAGUGGGAAAGGAUGUGGAAAUCCCAAAACAACCAGGAGGUUGGCUUAGAAGCAGCC